CGGACGGGUGAGUAAUGUAUGGGGAUCUGCCUGAUGGCGGGGGAUAACUACUGGAAACGGUAGCUAAUACCGCAUAACGUCGCAAGACCAAAGAGGGGGACCUUCGGGCCUCUUGCCAUCGGAUGUGCCCAGAUGGGAUUAGCUAGUAGGUGGGGUAACGGCUUACCUAGGCGACGAUCCCUAGCUGGUCUGAGAGGAUGAUCAGCCACACUGGGACUGAGACACGGCCCAG
rnacentral:rRNA from 1 species